UACGGGGGGGGCAAGCGUUGUUCGGAAUUACUGGGCGUAAAGAGCUCGUAGGCGGUUUGUUGCGUUGGCUGUGAAAUCCCGAGGCUCAACCUCGGGUCUGCAGUCGAUACGAGCAAACUAGAGUGUUGCAGGGGAGACUGGAAUUCCUGGUGUAGCGGUGAAAUGCGCAGAUAUCAGGAAGAACACCCGUGGCGAAAGCGGCUCUCUGGAACGGUACUGACGCUGAGACGCGAAAGCGUGGGGAGCGAACAGG
rnacentral:rRNA from 1 species